rnacentral:rRNA from 1 species
CCUACGGGAGGCAGCAGUGAGGAAUAUUGGUCAAUGGGCGCGAGCCUGAACCAGCCAAGUAGCGUGAAGGAUGACUGCCCUACGGGUUGUAAACUUCUUUUAUAAAGGAAUAAAGUGAGGCACGUGAGCCUUUUUGUAUGUACUUUACGAAUAAGGAUCGGCUAACUCCGUGCCAGCAGCCGCGGUAAUACGGAGGAUCCGAGCGUUAUCCGGAUUUAGUGGGUUUAAAGGGAGCGUAGAUGGGUUGUUAAGUCAGUUGUGAAAGUUGGCGGUUCAACCGUAAAAUUGCAAUUGAUACUGGCAGUCUUGCGUACAGUAGAGGUAGGCGGAAUUCGUGGUGUAGCGGUGAAAUGCUUAGAUAUCACGAAGAACUCCGAUUGCGAAGGCAGCUUACUAAACUGCCACUGACAUUGAUGCUCGAAAGUGUGGGUAUCAAACAGGAUUAGAUACCCCAGUAGUC